UGUAUUUGUGUUAAACUUUUUCUGUUUUCAUUUCAUUUUACUGCUGCCUUUGCAUUAUUUGCUUUGUUUUUAAAUCAUUGUGUAGACAAACACCCCAUUAAAGUCCAAAGUUCACUUUGCAGCGCUUAUUCAGCUCUCUCAACUGUGCAUGUAGGUAUGUAUGUGAGCACACAUAAACAUACAUACAUAAAUACCCCACAUACGCCAUAUUUACUACGUGCGCCAGUUUAUUUCAAAACUACGUAUGAGGACAUUUGUUUGCAUCAACAUGUUCUUUUAGAUAACGGCUUGUUACAAAGCAAAACAAUAAACAGCUGCUGAACGCAUACGUGAAUGGAAUAAAUAUCUAUCAAGAAUGUGUUGCUGUUGGGUGCAACCGACUGCGUAAUACCCGUUCACCAUCCAAGAACAACCCAAAAUAUACUACCCAGCUUAAUUUGUUAAUAGAUGUAAAUUAAAGCAGUUCGUCAAUUCUAAAUUCCUUCAGCAAGCACUUAAAACUGUAAAA